rnacentral:misc_RNA from 1 species
AUUUAAUAAGUAUCAAUACUACCCAAUCAACAAAUAAAUACACUAAAGGUUGGUAAUAAGAGUAUUCCUUGAAACAGAAUCUGAACUGUUCAAAAAUUAGAACAACCGAACGAUCUUUAACUUUGGUGAUGUAGAAAAACACUUCAAACUAAACCACCACCCACGGGAAUGGAAUCCCCAAGUUGAGGCGAUGUUGAGAAACUAAGCAUGGUAGCCGGACAUUGCCGGAAAACAGUACAUGCACGGACGCGCCGGCGCA